CAGGGAAUAGUUUAAAUAGAACUUCAACUUUGGGUG
rnacentral:tRNA from 1 species